rnacentral:rRNA from 1 species
GACGAACGCUGGCGGCAUGCUUAACACAUGCAAGUCGAACGAAGUGGCGAACGGGUGAGUAAUACGUGGGUAACCUGCCCUCCUUUUUGGGAUAAGCCUUGGAAACGGGGUCUAAUACCGAAUAAAGGGGGAUGGGCUCGCGGCCGAUCAGCGUGUUGGUGGGGUGAUGGCCUACCAAGGCGGUGACGGGUAGGCGGCCUGAGAGGGUGACCGGGCACAUUGGGACGGAGAUACGGCGCAGACACCUACGGGAGGCGGCAGUGGGGGAUAUUGCACAAUGGGGGAAAGCCUGAUGCAGCGACGCCGCGUGGGGGAUGAAGGCUUUCGGGUUGUUAACCUGUUUCGCUAUCGAAGGGGUAGGUGGAGAAGAAGCGCCGGCUAACUACGUGCCAGCAGCCGCGGUAAUAC